GAUGAACGCUAGCGGCAGGCCUAAUACAUGCAAGUCGAACGGUAACAUUGGUGCUUGCACCAGAUGACGAGUGGCGCACGGGUGCGUAACGCGUAUGCAACCUACCUUUUACUAGAGUAUAGCCCAGAGAAAUUUGGAUUAAUCCUCUAUAACAUCUUUUAAUUUCAUGAUUUUAAGAUUAAAGUUUUAACGGUAAAAGAUGGGCAUGCGUCCUAUUAGUUUGUAGGUGAGGUAACGGCUCACCUAGACUACGAUAGGUAGGGGCCCUGAGAGGGGGAUCCCCCACACUGGUACUGAGACACGGACCAGACUCCUACGGGAGGCAGCAGUAAGGAAUAUUGGACAAUGGACGAAAGUCUGAUCCAGCCAUGCCGCGUGCAGGAUGACAGCCCUACGGGUUGUAAACUGCUUUUAUACAGGAAGAAACACUCCGACGUGUCGGAGCUUGACGGUACUGUAAGAAUAAGGAUCGGCUAACUCCGUG
rnacentral:rRNA from 1 species